AUUUAUUUAAAAUUUUUGAUCGCAUAGUUUUCGUUCAACAGUCCCUCUCCAGUUCGCGUUUCGUCUCUUACCUCAAGUUGGGAACGGACGGGCGCCGACUUUCCUUCCGACUUCAAAUUCUCCAACUGCCAUCAAGACCCCGUCGCCUCCACAACCCAGUCCAUGACGGUCGUCCUCGUCGCCGGCGGCGGCAAGCUCGUUCCUCCGCUAGCCCGCUGCUUUACGAGGUGAGCGGACGGGCGGGCGAGGGCCUCACAGAAACAGAGGCGACGAAGAAGGCGCUCUUCUACUCCACCCGCUCCGAUAUCACCACGUUCGGAGAAACCCUAAGCCUAGGUGAUGAGGUGACAAGGCCAAAAUUAGAAGACUGGCAUAUGGAGCUUGCUGGCUGGUUGGCAAGACAGAAAAUCACUGGUCAACCCUCAAGCCUCUACUCAUGUGACCAGCUUGGUGAUGCUGUUACCAUCUAUUAUACUUAUUAAUUAGUAAUUCCAUACUCUAGAUUAGCAGCAAGAAAAAAAUGGCAUGCUCUAGAGCAUGCCAUUAUCCUUCUUUUUAUUAGGUUUCCAUCCAUUGAUCUUUUCCAGUGGGAUGUUCUCCUUUGUGUGAUUCUCCUCAGAAUGCAAAAAGAAUACCUGAUCUGGAUGAGUUUGUUGAGGCUCUCAUCUCUUCAAAGUCAUCUGAUAAAAAAGAGGUGUUGAGGCUGUCAGUCAUGGCGAGGAUGAUUCCCUUCAUCUUUUGCUUGAGCCAGUAAGGAUUUCUGGUGCUAUUGUCAUUGCGUUCGAGCUGCUCUAGGAUGGUAGUAUAGAGUGUGGGAUUGCCGUCUCUCUCUCUCUCUGUGUCCAUCCCGCUUAAAACAGAAAGGGUGAAAUUUAGAAAUGUUGUAAUCUUCCGAUAUUACCCUUAAUUAAUUAGUUUAGCCUUGCAAGUUGUCCUCUUGUUUCUGUCACUUUUUUGGAUUUCGCUGGCAGUUCUCAUAUAUUUUUUCUCAAAAAUGUAUAUGUGCUUUUUACAUUUUCAGGAACAAAGAGUUAAGCACUUUUUUCCAAGUUUUAUAAAUAAUUUUUUUAGUAUAUAAGAUAAUGAAUAAUAUGAUAAUAUGAUCUUCUUCUUGUUGGAAGUAUUUUCCAAUGACGGAUAUCUCAGUGCAAGUUCUUUGGAUGCUGGAAAGGAACAUGUAUGAGCUUGUGCAUGUCGGUUCCACCCACAAUCCCACCUCUCCGCUACUGUUGCCAGUCAACGCCAUAGCCAUGCCAUCUUCACAAGUUAUCAAAACCGUUUCUGACAUUGAAAUGAUCAUCUACAGCACUACUGGCUUCCAGCCCUUUUGUUGAGGAUGCAUGCAAAGCAACAAGACACUAGAAAUGAACAAGGUGAUGAUGAUGAUGAUGAUGAUGAUGAUGAUGAUAGGCCCGACAAUGGUACUAGAGUGGUGAAAUUGGUCAAGCAAACUUAAUGCUGAUAAUGGAGAGACGAUAAUACAUGGUAAAGUGCUAGCAUGGCGAUAUUGUUAGUUUCAGUUUGAAUUGUGCCUUUUGCUGUGCAUGGUAAAAUUGAUUUAUUGUAACUAGGCAAAAGGGAAAAAAAAAGGUUCGAUUCCUAUAAGCACAUCUGAACUUUACAAACUAGGUCUUUUUAUUCGACUGAAAAGAGCAAGAAUGAGGUCUUUUUUGGAAGUAUUAUGAAAGCAAAAGAGAUUACAGUUCUAUUA